ensembl:lncRNA dystrophin-related protein 2-like
AUGCCUGAUGGUUCAUAUCGAACAAGCGACGUUACAAGACAGCUGUCACCUCCAGCCCACACUAACAUGGUACGGCUGGAGGCCUUUUCGGACAACAGCGGGAAGCUCCAGCUGUCCCUGCAGGAGAUCAUCGAAUGGCUGACAGCUAAAGACGAGGAGCUGUCCGAGCAGCUGCCCAUAGGUGGUGAUGUGGGAGCGGUGCAGCACCAGCGGGAGUUCCACCAGGCUUUCAUGGAAGAUGUCAAAUCCAGAGGGCCCUACAUCUACUCGGUGUUGGAAUCAGCUCAGACCUUCCUUUCACAACACCCCUUCCAGGAGCCUGAGGAGACAUUGCCUGAUGGCAAAGAAGGCUCUCCUCGCCGGCGAAUGCUGAAUGUAAGUCGCUCCGUAUGGAAGCAGGCCAAUGUGGCCAGUGACCUGUGGGAGAAGUUGACAGCGCGCUGCGUGGACCGACACCGGCACAUGGAGCGAACCCUGGAGAGGCUGCUGCAGAUCCAGGCCGCCAUGGAGGAGCUGGCUGUGGCUCUGGAGCAGGCGGAGGGAGUAAGGGACGCCUGGGAGCCUGUGGGAGACCUGUUUAUUGAUUCGCUGCAGGACCAUAUAGACGCUACCAAGCUAUUUAAAGAAGAGCUGACCCAGGUGAAGGAAGGAAUGAAACACAUAAAUGACCUGGCCCACCAGCUGGCCAUAUCCGAUGUGCACUUGUCCAUGGAGAACGCCAGAGCUCUGGAGCACCUCAACAACAGAUGGAAACUUCUGCAGGGGUCUAUUGAAGAACGUCUGAAACAGUUGCAAGAUGCCCACAGAGAUUUUGGCCCCGGAUCACAGCACUUUCUUUCCAGUAAGUGUGGUAACUCACUUGAAGCCGUAGAGUCUUCUGCCGGAGUCCAUCAGGCUCAGACAACCUGCUGGGACCAUCCAAAGAUGACUGAAUUAUACCAAGCUCUGGCGGACCUGAACAAUAUCAAGUUCUCUGCAUACCGGACUGCCAUGAAGCUGAGGCAUGUGCAGAAGGCUUUAAGAUUGGACCUGCUGAAGUUAAGCAGCGUGGUGGACGUGUUUCGAGAACAGGAGCUGCAGCAUGCCGAGCAUGUGAUGGAUGUGGUGGAGGUCAUUCACGCUCUCACUUCCCUGUAUGAGAAACUAGAGGAGGAGAGGUCCAUCCUGAUCAAUAUCCCCCUGUGCGUCGACAUGUGUCUCAACUGGCUGCUGAAUGUUUACGACAGUGGUCGUAAUGGUAAGAUGCGAGUGCUCUCCUUCAAGACGGGCCUGGUUAUUCUAUGCAGUGCAGACAUCCAGGAAAAGUAUAAAUACCUUUUCAGACAGGUGUGUGGUCCAGGUGGACUGACAGAUCAGAAACAUCUCAGCCUGUUACUGCAUGAGGCUAUUCAGAUCCCUCGGCAGCUCGGGGAAGUGGCGGCGUUUGGAGGAAGCAACGUGGAGCCCAGUGUCCGCAGCUGCUUUCGAAUGGCUCCAGGUAAGUCAGCUAUCGAGGUGUCUCACUUUCUGGAGUGGAUGAGCCUAGAGCCUCAGUCUGUGGUGUGGCUUCCUGUUCUACACCGGGUAACUGUGGCAGAGACAGCCAAGCACCAGGCACGCUGCUACAUCUGUAAGCAGUGCCCUAUCAAGGGCUUCAGAUACCGAAGUCUGAAACAGUUCAAUGUGGACAUCUGCCAGAUGUGUUUUCUGACGGGCCGGACUACCAAGGGCAAGAAACUACACUACCCCAUCAUGGAGUACUACACCCCGACGACCUCAGGCGAGAAGAUGCGGGACUUCGCAAAGACGCUAAAGAACAAGUUCCGCUCGAAGCAGUAUUUUAGUAAACACCCUCAGAGGGGAUACCUGCCCGUUCAAUCAGUACUGGAGGUGGAGAGCUCUGAGACGCCCUGCUCAUCUCCCAGGCUGCCUCAUGCGGACACACACAGCCGGAUCGAGCAUUUUGCCAGCAGGUUGGCAGAAAUGGAGAACCAGAGCUGCUCCUUUUUCACCGACAGUCUCUCUCCAGAUGAAAGUUUGGAUGAAGAUCAGUACCUCCUACGUCACUCCAGCCCCGCCCUCGAGCAGGACUCCCCCCACGGCCACCUGCUGGCCCACCUGGACUGCCAGGACAGAGAAGAGCUGCAGCGCACCCUCCAACGCCUGGAGAACGAGAACAGGGUGCUGCAGGGCGAGUAUCGGCGGCUGAAGUGGAAGCAUGAAGAGGCAGCAUCUUCACCUCAGCUGCUGGAAUCGGGUCCCGGUUCACCGGCCGGUCAGCAGGACGAGGAGCUCCUAGCCGAGGCUCGAGUCCUUCGACAGCACAAGACCCGCCUGGAGACGCGCAUGCAGAUUCUAGAGGACCACAACAAGCAACUGGAGUCCCAACUACACAGACUCAGAGAACUACUGCUGCAGGUGAGAUAUAGCCUAAAACAUAUGCCUGUAUACCUAAAGAAUGAGAAGUAUCAGGACACCGUACUGCAGCUGCAGCAGGUAAUCGAACAGCUGAGGAACGUCUUCCCAUCUGAGCCAGGUCCAUGA